GGUGCUAUUUUCUUUGCAUUACUGUAAUACUGUCGCAUUAAUCAUAUAGCAUUUCAUAUUUCCAUCAUAUUGUUUCACAUCGAAUAACUUAAUUUGUUUUACUGUUACAGAAAAGGAAGAGGGAUGAAGAGCCAUCCGAAGACCUGCAGAGAAAGAGGGUGAGGUUGGAAUCGCCUGAAAGAAUCGACGUUCUGACAUCUGACUUCCACACAGUAUCCAUAGAUGAGGAAAUGUUCAAGGCCCUUAUUACCUCAUUAGACAUGUAAAGUGAGUAACUGAGUUUUCUCCUUUUCAUUUUAACUCUUUUUCAACUUGAAUAAUUGUUAAUAUUUUCUACAAUUCGAUUUUUUCUUUUAUUGAAAUAUCUGUGGUAAAAUAUUUGUUCUCUCUCUUUUCAGAUCUCCAAAAUAAAUGAAACGAAUCGUAAAAUAC